AGGGGAAGGGAGAGCCUGACGAGUGAGUCCCGCUCGUCAGUGUCCACAUGAGGGGAGGGGCAGCACGCGCAGUGCGUGCGCGGGCCGAGCGCGCAUGGGCCGGCCUGCGGGCCAAGAUCCAGGCCGCCCACUGCGCAAAGAUCUUUUUCUUUUUUCUUUUUAUGCAAUUUUUGUUUGAUGUUUGAAAUUAUGUGAUAAAUUGUGUGCUAAUCCAAAAAUGAUGAAAGUUUUUGUAUAGGUUCCAUAAAGUGGGUAGAACACAAGAAAAAUAGUGGAUUCUGUUUUCUGGUAGUUUACAUGUCUGUAAAAAUUUGCUCUUUUAAUUAGUGAAUAAAACUUCUAGGAAUUUUAAUAAUUUAUUUGUAUGUCCAAAAAUCACCAAAAAUUGUGGGGAGCCUCUGACUAUUAUUCCCUGGCUCCACACAAAAUUUGGUGGCAUUUGGAUAAUGUUUGAUUAAAAUAUUAAUAAAUCCUUAUUUAGUACUUAAAUAAUAAUUCCAAAAUAAUUAGAUAGUGAUUAGUGAAAUCCUCAUAAUUAGGGUUGAGUGAUUUUGGGGAUUGUGUGAUGACCUGAGGUCAUUAACCCUAAUGACCUUUGGCAUUUAAUUAUUGUUUAGCCUUAAUGCUUAAUUACUGUCAUUAGCAGUUGAUUAAGAAUUAAUUAAGGUAAAUAGGAUUAAUAAUUAGUUAAUUCAGGUUAAUUAUGAAUUAAAAGAGAUUUUAUUUUACAGAUGCAACCUCUUGGGUAAAAACAUUAAGAUGUUAAACAACUUUAUUUAGUGAUAAUUCUGUAUUGCAUCAAGAAGGCGAGUUGUACUCGAUUUGGUCCUUCUUGCAUAUUUGUCAUACGCAUAUCAUGAGCAUUCAUCAUUUUGCGUAUAGUGUCCGUG
rnacentral:lncRNA from 1 species